AUGGAUCCAUUUCUUCUUUCCAUGAUCUUAUGCUCAUGCAUCUUUGCUGCAGUGUCUUGGAAAAAACUCAAUGGGAUGAGGCUAAGGCUUCCACCGGGACCUCCAAGAUGGCCAAUCUUUGGGAACCUUCUCCAGUUGAGUCCUCUUCCCCACAAGGACUUUGCUCGAUUUUGCACCAAGUAUGGCCCCCUUGUCUAUCUUCGUCUUGGAACCAUUGAUGCCAUCACCACUGAUGACCCUGAAGUCAUCCGUGAAAUACUUAUCCGGCAAGACGAGGUCUUCGCUUCUCGGCCUCGGACAUUGGCUGCUGUCCACCUUGCCUAUGGCUGUGGCGAUGUGGCUCUUGCUCCACUGGGGCCAAACUGGAAGAGGAUGAGGAGGGUUUGCAUGGAGCACCUGCUUACCACCAGGCGGCUUGAAUCUUUCGCUGCUCACCGAGCUGAGGAAACUGAGCACCUCUGUGAGUUUGUAUGGGCUAAAUCCCAGUCAGGGAAGCCUGUGAAUCUCAGAGAGGUUCUCGGGGCAUUCUCGAUGAACAAUGUGACGAGAAUGUUACUUGGAAAGCAGUACUUUGGGCUGCAGUCAGCAGGCCCUGGUGAAGCGAUGGAGUUCAUGCACAUCACCCAUGAGCUGUUCUUUCUGCUGGGCCUGAUCUAUCUUGGGGAUUACUUGCCUGCCUGGAGGUGGCUUGAUCCAUAUGGGUGUGAGAAGAAGAUGAGAGAGGUUGAGAAGAAGGUGGAUGAUUUUCACCAGAAGAUAAUUGAUGAGCACAGGAAGGCAAGGGAUGUCAGGAAGAGUGGUGCGUCCCUUGAUGAUGAUGGUGAUGAUGAUAGCAAAGAAGACAUGGACUUUGUUGAUGUGCUGCUUUCCUUGCCUGGUGAGAAUGGGAAUGAGCACAUGGAUGAUGUGGAGAUCAAAGCCUUAAUGCAGGACAUGAUCGCUGCUGCUACCGAUACUUCAUCAGUGACCAACGAGUGGGUGAUGGCCGAGGUGAUCAAGAACCCCCGCGUCCUCCGCAAGAUCCAGGAGGAGCUUGACACCGUCGUCGGCACCAGCCGCAUGGUGGUGGAGUCGGACCUCCCCCACCUGACGUACCUCCGCUGCGUCGUCCGGGAGUCCUUCCGGAUGCACCCGGCCGGGCCGUUCCUGAUCCCGCACGAGUCACUCAAGGCGACGACGAUCAUGGGCUACGACAUCCCGGCGCAGACGAGGAUCUUCAUCAACACCCACGCGCUGGGCCGGAACCCGCGCAUCUGGGACGACGUCGACGAGUUCCGCCCCGAGAGGCACCUCCCGGCCGACGGCGGGCGCGUGGAGAUCAGCCACCUGCCGGACUUCAAGAUCCUGCCCUUCAGCGCCGGGAAGCGCAAGUGCCCAGGGGCGCCCCUGGGCGUGAUCCUGGUGCUCAUGGCGCUCGCCAGGCUCUUCCACUGCUUCAACUGGUCCCCGCCCGACGGCCUCCGCCCCGAGGACAUCGACACCGACGAGGUCUACGGGAUGACCAUGCCCAAGGCCAAGCCGCUCAUCGCCGCCGCUCACCCGCGCCUGCCGCCGCAGAUGUACGGCUCCUGUCCUAGCCACGGCAUGCAGAUGCAGUAA
rnacentral:rRNA from 1 species